CGUAGGUGACCUGCCCCGAAGAGGGGGAUAACGGCCCGAAAGGGCUGCUAAUACCCCAUGUGAUUGGUGAUUCGGUUUGCCAAUUAAAGCUUCCGUAAGGAGUGUGCUUCGGGAGGGGCCUGCGGCAGAUUAGAUAGUUGGUGGGGUAAUGGCCUACCAAGUCGAUGAUCUGUAGCUAGUCUGAGAGGACGAUUAGCCACACUGGCACUGACACACGGGCCAG
rnacentral:rRNA from 1 species